ACCUACGGGGGGCAGCAGUGAGGAAUAUUGGUCAAUGGGCGCGAGCCUGAACCAGCCAAGUCGCGUGAGGGAAGACGGUCCUAUGGAUUGUAAACCUCUUUUGUCGGGGAGCAAAAGACGCCACGUGUGGCGUUCCGAGAGUACCCGAAGAAAAAGCAUCGGCUAACUCCGUGCCAGCAGCCGCGGUAAUACGGAGGAUCCUAGCGUUAUCCGGAUUUAUUGGGUUUAAAGGGAGCGUAGGUGGAUUGUUAAGUCAGUUGUGAAAGUUUGCGGCUCAACCGUAAAAUUGAAGUUGAAACUGGCAG
rnacentral:rRNA from 1 species